GGCCUUGUAGCUUAGGGGUUAGAGCACUGGUCUCGUAAACCAGGGGUCGUGAGUUCAAUUCUCAAUAAAUCUG
rnacentral:tRNA from 1 species